rnacentral:rRNA from 1 species
AGAGUUUGAUCCUGGCUCAGAUUGAACGCUGGCGGCAGGCCUAACACAUGCAAGUCGAGCGGCAGCGGGAAAGUAGCUUGCUACUUUUGCCGGCGAGCGGCGGACGGGUGAGUAAUGCCUGGGAAAUUGCCCAGUCGAGGGGGAUAACAGUUGGAAACGACUGCUAAUACCGCAUACGCCCUACGGGGGAAAGCAGGGGACCUUCGGGCCUUGCGCGAUUGGAUAUGCCCAGGUGGGAUUAGCUAGUUGGUGAGGUAAUGGCUCACCAAGGCGACGAUCCCUAGCUGGUCUGAGAGGAUGAUCAGCCACACUGGAACUGAGACACGGUCCAGACUCCUACGGGAGGCAGCAGUGGGGAAUAUUGCACAAUGGGGGAAACCCUGAUGCAGCCAUGCCGCGUGUGUGAAGAAGGCCUUCGGGUUGUAAAGCACUUUCAGCGAGGAGGAAAGGUUGAUGCCUAAUACGUAUCAACUGUGACGUUACUCGCAGAAGAAGCACCGGCUAACUCCGUGCCAGCAGCCGCGGGUAAU